rnacentral:rRNA from 1 species
UUUGCCUACGGGACGCAGCAGUGAGGAAUAUUGGUCAAUGGCCGGAAGGCUGAACCAGCCAAGCCGCGUGAAGGACGAAGGUGCCAAGCAUUUUAAACUUCUUUUGUCAAGGGACAAAAUCAGGCUCGAGAGCCUGACCGAGGGUACUUGAAGAAAAAGCAUCGGCUAACUCCGUGCCAGCCGCCGCGGUAAUACGGAGGGUGCGAGCGUUAUCCGGAUUUAUUGGGUUUAAAGGGUGCGCAGCCGGCCUGUUAAUUCAGCGGUAAAAGCCCGGGGCUCAAC